GAGAAUGAACGGCUCUUACAAGACAGUGGGCACGAAAGAACCGGAGGCUCUGGAAGCUCAAUCUGUGUGAGAAAUCAAUGUGGAUUUGACCGUAUAAACAAUUUGCUGCCUUACUUCGGAUUGUAGUCAAAGACUGAUUAGUGCCAUUGAACCAUUUGAAUUGGUGCUAAUUGUAGCAUUAUGCAAACUGAAAAUUUUUACGACAAGAAUCUUUCUGAAAUUGCAGAAUUAAAGAUUAGAGAUUUUUUGGAAAGGGGGGGGGGGGGGGGCUAUAUAAUCAGGAAAAGAAAACCCCAGAUAUUAAAUGUCAACGUUAAGUAAUCCUCAUUAUUUUCACUUCUUAUUAGAACUUUUUAAAGAAUUAUUUACCUGGGUGUUAACGUUAUGAAACAAUGCAGUUUUCCCAGUUGCUAUAGCAUAUGCCAUUACGUCCAGAAGUCGAGUCUCUGUGAUCAAAGCCAUUUGUUAGGGUGUAAUUUCUUUUAUUUCAAAUACAUGUAUUUUAAAUAUAUAUAUAACCGAUAGUUUGUUUUCAUCAUUUUGUUUUUUAUGUUUUUGUUCUUGCCAAAAUCUGAAGUAACUAGGGGAAAGAUUAGAUAUGUAUUAUAACAAAAAAAUGAUAAACAGAUGUUUAAUUUGUAUACAUGCAUAUGUAAAGUCGUUUAUCCUAUUUACCGUUUUCCGUCUGUGUCAUUUCGAGUUUUUUUGUUUGUAUUUGUUUCUAUUAUAGAAUUAACUUAUAACUACAGAAAACAUUUUUUUUACCAAGAUGUGCCACAGCAAUGACAGUUUUAGCCGAAGUUUCAUUGAUAACUGCCCUAUCGAAGUAUAACGUCAAAAGCAACGGUAUACAUUUUGAUUAAUGUUGGAAUUAAUCAUAUUUAUAGUUUCACUUCAACCACAAAUAUAUAUGUUAUUAUAAACUUUGAAAAUAGGC
rnacentral:misc_RNA from 1 species